rnacentral:misc_RNA from 1 species
UCAUUGCAACCCUCAAGCUUGGCUUGGUGUUGGGUACUUCGUCCCCUUGGGGCGGGCCUGAAAGUUAGUGGCGGUCCAGCGAGACUUCGAGCGCAGUAAAUUUUCAUCCGCUCUGGAAGCUUCUCCCUGUGUGCCUGCCAGAGACCUCUAAUAUUUCAAUGGUUGACCUCGGAUCAGGUAGGGAUACCCGCUGAACUUAA